rnacentral:rRNA from 1 species
GACGAACGCUGGCGGCGUGCCUAAUACAUGCAAGUCGAGCGAAGUUUUUCUGGUGCUUGCACUAGAAAAACUUAGCGGCGAACGGGUGAGUAACACGUAAAGAACCUGCCUCAUAGACUGGGACAACUAUUGGAAACGAUAGCUAAUACCGGAUAACAGUAUUUCUCGCAUGAGAGAUAUUUAAAAGUUGGUUAUGCUAACACUAUGAGAUGGCUUUGCGGUGCAUUAGCUAGUUGGCGGGGUAAAGGCCCACCAAGGCGACGAUGCAUAGCCGACCUGAGAGGGUGAUCGGCCACACUGGGACUGAGACACGGCCCAGACUCCUACGGGAGGCAGCAGUAGGGAAUCUUCCGCAAUGGGCGAAAGCCUGACGGAGCAACGCCGCGUGAGUGAAGAAGGAUUUCGGUUCGUAAAGCUCUGUUGUUAGGGAAGAAUGGAUAUGUAGUAACUAUACAUGUAAGAGACGGUACCUAACCAGAAAGCCACGGCUAACUACGUG